ACUCUCUGGAUUUAUUUUUUUUCUCUUUCGUAGGGUCGUCCCACUUUUAUUUCAUAAAAGUAUGAUUAUUUGUACACUUGCGUCUUAGUUUGCUUUACAUCUCAUGGUCAAAAAUUGCUUAUCUUCUUGUGCGUUAGGUUCUUUAUGUUACCUUACAUUUUCGUAUUUUCUACUUUGCUUACUUAAAUUUUUCUUCCGAUUUCAUCCUUCAUUAACACUCUCUGGAUUUCAUCUUGCUGAAUACAAGUGUAAUUUUCAACUUCAGUCAACUUGUAUUAAUGCUGAAUUGAUGUCGCUUCUGCUUAGCCUCAUUGCAUACCUGGGAUUACUUUUGAUAAAGCAAUGUUCCAAAAACUGGAAUAAGGCAUACAAACUCUAGAAGGUCAUCUGUUGUGCCCGCUUCAACACUUUUGCUUGUACGUUCCUGCUCCUUGUCUUUCCACAAGCACCAGGUGGCCAUUGCUGUGGAUUCAUGCUUUAUUUAUGUAUUAAGUAGACAGUUUUAAAAACCUUUACUCAACAAAUUUUUUUUACUCACCAGGGCAUUUUGAGCGGAUCAAUUGGUGCUUGUGGUUGUCAUUUGUGAUCAUCUAGUGUAGUGCAAUAUUAUCCGACGCCAUAGAUGUUGAUGAUGGUGAAAUUGCCCUCUGGCCCCUGCUCUUGUUGGUGGCAAAAUGUUGUUCCAGACUGGAUCAAACUCCAAUGCCUUGCCUCGGUUUAGUCUCGCGUUCAACGUUCUGAUGCCCAAAUCCUGAAAGAUUUUGCGUGGAAAGUCUCUUGGUUCCUUGACCAGCACUGUUACAUUUUCCCAGUUGAUGUUGUGACCUACAUCCAUAUUGAAACUCCUGAAGUGAUCAGAGGGCUUCUUAGAAAGGAUAACAGCUGGAAAAAAAGUUUUUGCUAAAGAGUUAAUAGUAGACAAUGUUAGUCAACUCUUUAGUUGACCAGCACCGUGACAUUUUUCCAGUUGAUGUUGUGACCUUGAAACUCCAGAAGUGAUCAGGGAGCUUCUUAGAAAAGGAUAACAGCUGGAAUACAGGUUUGGCUAAAGAGUUAACAGUAGACAAUGUUAGUCAACUCCUAAGUUUCCGCUUAAAAAUAACAUACUUUGUGUUAAUGGAAACAAUUCUACCAGCAAUGUGAUGGCUGCGACAUGGGAGUCCCUGUAGUCCAUUAUAUGCCAACGUUUACAUUGAGUUUUUCGAACAAAAAGCCCAAACAUUAGCUCUCAACAAACAUUGUGUCUGGUUCCAGUAUGUUGAUGAUGCGUUCUGCGUAAAUAAGAACACGCUGCUGGACGAAUUCACAGAUCACAUUAAUAGUUGGAACAAAAACAUCAAUGUCACACAAGAGAAUGAAGUAAAAAGAUAACUACCAAUCCUUGACAUGUUGAUUUCACAUAAACCCAAUGAGUUGCUGAAAGUACUGUAAGUGUAUAGAAAGGCAUACUGAUCAAUACUUGAACUUUACCAUACACCGUCAUAAGUUGAGUGUGUUACAUUAAUGCACCAGAUGGAAUUGGUUGUUACGGAUCCGAUAGAUAAAGCUGAGAAGAUUUUUCACGUAAAGGAAGCAUUACACAACUGUGAUUAUGGAGAAUGGACUGUCUUUCGUGCGGAGAAAACAAAAUACCAGUAAGAACAUUUUCAGAAAAAGUUUAGAAGGACCUUUACCUCAGCCAGCAUUAGUACAUAUUUUAGACCUUUGAACACACAUGUAGGGAUAGAACUGCACUGGAGUAACAGGCAGGUGUGUUAUACAGCAUCCCAUGCAAAAACUAACACUAUCUAUAUUGGCUAAUCUGGUCGUAAGCUAGAGAAAAUGUUUUCAAAACAUAUGUCUAAAAGCUGCCAGUUCUAAAUCAACCGUAAGAGAGCAAGUGGAACAUAGCAAAGGUCACAACAUUAACUGGAAAAGUGUGAUGGUGCUGGACAAGGAACCAAGAGACUUUCCACACAGAAUCUUUGAGGUAAUCCACAUCAGAACGUUAAACCAGAGAAUAGACUGAGGCGAGGAAUUGGAGUUGGAUCCAGUCUGGAACAACUUUUUAGCCACCAACAAGACCAGGGGGCCGAGGGCAGAUUUAUCUUUGACAACACAUCAAUAUUUAUGUACUGUAUACAGCACUGUAAUUACAACUACCAGUUGGUCCGGUGAAAGCACGCUGGUGAGUUAACAAAAUUUGUAGGCAGGGUGGAAGAACUGUCUAAUAAAAGAUAUGCUUAUUUGAAUAAUUUUUGAUAGGAAAUAUUAACUAAGUUUUAUACUAAAGAAGACAUUUCUUCCCUAGAGCCUUGGAAAGGACACAAAAGCAGAGUUCAGAAAAAUACUGCUUUUGGCUUUCCAGUAAAUAAGCCUGUCCCUAACUCUUACGAACAAAUUCAGUAGGUGACACAUUAUUAAGAAUUUUGAAGCCAACAAUAAGCUGCUUAUAUAUAAAUAUAUCUUUUACACUUUUAUCAAGUGUCUUCAGUCCAUCAUAAUAGUAUGUCUCUAAAUCUCAUAAUUAUUUGAGCUGGUCUCUUAAUAUCAAUCGUUUUGUCACCUGGAACUAAACAAUAUAUGUAAUAAUUGGAAGAACCAAUUUAACAAAAUAGACCAUGACAUGUUUUUACUACACUUUAAAUCCUAAUAACCUGAAAGUUUGUUAUUAAAACACCAAGCAAUUUAAUUUUACCCCAUUUUUCAAGUCCUUAAUUACCACCUGCUAGGCAAUUUCUAUGCUAUUAACAAUAUUUUUCAAUUUGUAAAUAUCCUCCUGAUUACAAUGGCCUCUAUGUCAUGACUUGCAUUUACAUUGUCCUUAUUUCCUUCCUGAUGUUGAACUAAAAGCUAGGGUGGAUCAGUACGGCUCUUUGUCAUAGCUGUAGCACUUAUAGUGUUUAUUGAUUCCUGUUAAAGUCUUUGUAUAUUGAUGAUGGCUGUAUACUUGAACCGUCUGCCCGUCUGUUGACUUUCUAUCUCUUUUGGUUGUUUUAGUUAGUGUUGCAUUACAAUUUUUAAAAUACUUGGCUGUUUGGAAAUAUACCCUUUUAACAGUGUUGUUGAGCUUACUGUAUAUGAAUUGUCUACCAGCUUCAGGAAUAUCCAUCAUUACAUACAUGGUGCUUAUUCAAUGCCUGUUCAGUGGCUGAUCUUCGUUUUGUUGAUCAACUCCACCUUGUCGCAUACUACUGACAGCUUGCCAUCCUGACACAUGAUUGCUUGAUCCAUUUGUACUUGGAAACAAGAACAGGUUAUCCUCUACACCAGAUACAGCGAUGCCAACCGUCUCAUGUCAGUCAUUACAGACCGCCUACACAUCACCAAAGAACCUGAUGCGACUGAUCUUUCUCUCUGUUUUAAUUUCUGCUCUUCAUUCUCUGAAUCACUUCAGCAUAUGAGUGUGGGUCACCAAUGUUGUCAUCUUCAUUUGGAGAGAUGUCGCCUUCAUUUGGAGGGAUGUCAACUUUGAUGUGCCUUGGUCUAUAUAAUUUACAAUUAGGCUUCCUAAAGUCAUGGACCUAUAACAGUCCGAUAGAAGAAAGGUGGCCGAAUACAUGCGCCACAGCAUUACAACCCAAGUUCGUUACUACAACGCCCAGCAGAGGCAUCGUGAUGCUGUGGUUCCAAAGAAUUUAAUUCAUAGCAUCAAAAAUACAGAAAGUAUUACAUAAAAUUUUUAGAAAUAAGUUUUAUUUUUGCUUGAACAUUUUAUCCUACUAAUUCUUUUGUGCUUUUGAAGUUCAAGGUUGCAUGAUGUGCUAAUCUAUUUCUCUACACCAUUAAAACCUCGGUUUGUUAACAUACCUUGGGAUUUUGUAUCUUGGACAACGUUUCUAUGGUAACUGGAGUUUUUGAGUUGUGGAAAUAGGUGUGGCGCUAGUGAGGGGUAGUGGGGUCAAGUAAGACCACUACUCGUCGGGGAGAAAGAAAUUAUAUAAACACCCUGAUGCAGCAUUUAUUUUUCCCUCGAAUAAAGGCCCCCUAUAUGACUGAUAAAAAAAUCUAAUAGAAGCAACAUAAUUCUCAACAUAUUCAAUUCUCUAACCUGGUUGGGAUCAAUAUGUGAUUAUGAAUAUAUUUUCAAUGAUGUUUCAUGUUAUAUAAUCAGCAUCAUUAUUAGUGGAAAGAAUUGUUACAAAAAAUAAACCAUCUUUAUUCCGUUUUAGUCAAAUGAAGCCUCAUCUCUUGGAAACACUUUCAUGUCACAUCAUUUUGAAAUGCCUUUCAAACAAACAACUGCUGUCAUGUGUUUUUCAAAGAGGAUAUUUACUGUCUGAAAGAUGUGUUUCACAUUCCAGAUCAAGUUAAAACAUGUAUUUCCCGUCGAAGUUAGAUGGUACGACAGUUUUAUGCUGCAGGAGUCAGGCCUACUGGAUCAAUUGAUACAAACAAUGAAAUCAUGUGUAUUUAUGGAGACCCAGUCUACCCUAUAAUACCUCAGCUUAAGCACCAUUUAAAGGCAACCUGUCACCAAUAGAACAGGUCUACUACAAUAAGGCAAUGAGUGAAGUGCGUGUCUCUGGAAAAUGGUUAUUUGGGGACAUAUUAAAUUACUUUAAAUUCACAGAUUUUAAAAAAUCACAAAAUGUUGGAAUGAGUGACUAUUAAGUGAUAAAAUAAAUAAUAAUUAAUUUGGAAAUGUUAAGCGCAUAGAGUUCUAGAUAUGCGCUAUAUAAACAUACAAUAAUAACAAUAAUAAUAAUAGUGUGUGCAGUGGGGAAUAUGUACACAGAAGCACAUGUGAUUUCUUUGAACUCAAUCCUCCCGAAUUAGAUGAUUAUUUUCAGUGAAUUUUGUUUGUUGGUCUGUUGACACAAUAAAAGUUGAUAUCGGAUAUAAA